GACGAACGCUGGCGGCGUGCCUAAUACAUGCAAGUAGAACGCUGAAGGAGGAGCUUGCUUCUCUGGAUGAGUUGCGAACGGGUGAGUAACGCGUAGGUAACCUGCCUGGUAGCGGGGGAUAACUAUUGGAAACGAUAGCUAAUACCGCAUAAGAGUAGAUGUUGCAUGACAUUUGCUUAAAAGGUGCAAUUGCAUCACUACCAGAUGGACCUGCGUUGUAUUAGCUAGUUGGUGGGGUAACGGCUCACCAAGGCGACGAUACAUAGCCGACCUGAGAGGGUGAUCGGCCAAACUGGGACUGAGACACGGCCCAGACUCCUACGGGAGGCAGCAGUAGGGAAUCUUCGGCAAUGGACGGAAGUCUGACCGAGCAACGCCGCGUGAGUGAAGAAGGGUGUCGGAUCGGAAAGCUCGGUUGUAAGAGAAGAACGAGUGUGAGAGUGGAAAGUUCACACUGUGACGGUAGCUUACCAGAAAGGGACGGCUAACUACGUG
rnacentral:rRNA from 1 species